GACAGAGGAUGCAAGCGUUAUCCGGAAUGAUUGGGCGUAAAGCGUCUGUAGGUGGCUUUUCAAGUCCGCCGUCAAAUCCCAGGGCUCAACCCUGGACAGGCGGUGGAAACUACCAAGCUGGAGUACGGUAGGGGCAGAGGGAAUUUCCGGUGGAGCGGUGAAAUGCAUUGAGAUCGGAAAGAACACCAACGGCGAAGGCGGGUUGCUGGGCUGAUACUGACGCUGAGGCGCGAAAGCCAGGGGAGCGAACGGG
rnacentral:rRNA from 1 species